rnacentral:lncRNA from 1 species
AAAAAGAGUAGCACUUUUUGAAAGAAAUGUAACAUAAGAAAGGUAAAGGGCAAAUAUUAACCAUGUAAGCUGUUUAUAUUGCUUGCAAUUUAGGUGAAGCAAGCAUGUGUAAAGCAUUUUAAUGUAAAAUUGCUUAAUUUUGCUGAAUUAAAUACAAGUAACAAAGUAAACGAGUAACAAAAAUAUGAACACCACACAAGGGUUAAAGAGUUUUAAAGAAUUUUAAAGGGUUUUACAGGAUUUUCAAGUGUGUUUUCAGCAGUCUCACAUUGAUAUCCUGGUGAAGAACAGCUUUGUGGAAUUGGUUUCUGGGAAGCUGAACUGAAAUUGUGUGAAUUGUGAAAAGAUAAAGAUGUGGUGUGGGGCUGGCUCUUUCUGUAAAGGUUGCACCAGGGGAAAUGGGCUCUUUCUGACGUCGGUGAGAACACAAUGUCUGGGCAAUCUGGAGUGUGAUUACUGGCCUGUUCUGGACAAAUCAAAGCGAUUACUAGCUAAUGGAUUAUGGUGGGAGGAAGGAAGACAGAUGCAUCUUGUUACUUAACAGGCUUACAUGUGCAAACCCCCCCUCUACACCCCCCUACGCCCCUACCCAGAAAAGACAGCCCAUGUGGUCAGCGCUGUGACGCAGAUGAAGAAGCUGCAGGCCAGAAAAUACAAGGAUGCUGUUCUGUUCACUGACCCUGCUGCAGAUACUGAUGACAUGGCAGAGGCUAAACAGAGAGCUCUUCUUGAUCAGCGCCAUCUAGAGACGUACCACAGGAUUCACCGGCUGAGGGACAGACUGUACCAGCACUACUCUGAGUUACUGACAGAGAAGAUCCAGAGACAGAGGCAGGAGCUGAAGAUGCAUCAUGACUCAGCUUCCCAGAAAAACACAGAAAAUGACACUGAACAGACUGAAAAAAGCUGGAAAACUCAACACAACAGAAGAGUGAAGAGCAAUUGGAGGAAAAGAUAUGAGGAGACGUAUAAAUAUAUAUAUAUAUAUAUAUAUAUAUAUGUUUGGAUUACCUCUCUACAUUACUGUGUAUAAAUAAGCAUGUGUUCCUGUGAAAUGGUUUGUAAAGGUGAUACUUGGAUUUUUUAGUUUGGUCAUUGGUGAUACGUGGUCUAAACACUGUAUGACUCUACCUACACCAGGCUUUGAAGUGCAGGUACGAUGGUGUUUGAGGUUGAGGAGAUUGAGGAAGCUCCUCAUGUUAAUACGGGGGCUGGGGGCUGUUGGUGCAGACUUGUGAUUGACUUUGAUUUUGGCCGUCUGGCCCGAGG